rnacentral:tRNA from 2 species
GCCGGUGUGGCCUAAUGGCUAAGGCGUCUGACUGUAAAUCAGAAGAUUGGGAGUUCGACCCUCCCCAUUGGCU